rnacentral:rRNA from 1 species
CAGCAGCCGCGGGAAUACAGAGGGUGCAAGCGUUAAUCGGAUUUACUGGGCGUAAAGGGCGCGUAGGUGGUUAUGUAAGUGAGAUGUGAAAUCCCCGGGCUCAACCUGGGAACUGCAUCUUAUACUGCGUAGCUGGAGUGCAGUAGAGGGUAGUGGAAUUUCCGGUGUAGCGGUGAAAUGCGUAGAUAUCGGAAGGAACACCAGUGGCGAAGGCGGCUACCUGGACUGACACUGACACUGAGGCGCGAAAGCGUGGGGAGCAAACAGGAUUAGAUACCCCUGUAGUCCCUGUCUCUUAUAC